AUUGAACGCUGGCGGAAUGCUUUACACAUGCAGUCGAGCGGCAGCGCGGGGCAACCUGGCGGCGAGCGGCGAACGGGUGAGUAAUGCAUCGGAACAUGUCCAUGUCGUGGGGGAUAGCCCGGCGAAAGCCGGAGUAAUACCGCAUACGCUCGAGAGAGGAAAGCCGGGGACCGCAAGGCCAGGCGCGAUUGGGUUCGCCGAUGUCCGAUUAGCUAGUUGGGUGGGUAAAGGCUUACCAAGGCGAUGAUCGGUAGCUGGUCUGAGAGGAUGAUCAGCCACACUGGGACUGAGACACGGCCCAGACUCCUACGGGAGGCAGCAGUGGGGAAUUUUGGACAAUGGGGGCAACCCUGAUCCAGCCAUUCCGCGUGAGUGAAGAAGGCCUUCGGGUUGUAAAGCUCUUUUGUCCGGAGCGAAACGGUGCUGGUGAAUAUCCAGCGCUACUGACGGUACCGGAAGAAUAAGCACCGGCUAACUACGUGCCAGCCGCCGCGGUAAAAC
rnacentral:rRNA from 1 species